GAGGUUUCUGAUGUGCAUGCACAGUGCAAACACAAUCCUGUAAUGCCCUUAAGAAAUCUCA
rnacentral:pre_miRNA from 1 species